rfam:Plicaturopsis crispa FD-325 SS-3 unplaced genomic scaffold PLICRscaffold_13, whole genome shotgun sequence.
GGUGAGAUGGCCGAGCGGUCUAAGGCGCCAGACUAAGGAUCAGUUCCAUUGGAACACACUUAUCACACAUCGUGAUAUCUGGUCCGAAAGGGCGUGGGUUCGAAUCCCACUCUCAUCA